AGAAGCCCCGAAGGCUCUGGGGGAGACGGAAAUGCACACCAGUCAGCCUGAGCCCUUACCUGCCACCCUCUCGGCAUCCAGAGCCGGCAGCUUCUCGGUUUUAUUUCCCUCCUUUGGAUUCCCAGGACCUGGGUGUUCCUCCGUGAGAUCUAUCCAGGCCUGUCCCUUGGGCAGAACAACGGGAGGCUGGCCUGGUCACCAGAAAAUCUCUACUUUCUGGGUCUGGCCACUGAAAAGCCUAGAAGCAAUGGCAACUUGAUAACAGUGACUCUCCUGAGGCCUAGCCUGUGGCCUCUAAACACCAUUUCCCACCAGAGGAUCUAGAGAUUCUUGA